ACCCCUGUGAGAAUGCCCUACAGUUCCCUGCUCGGGAACAAGGAGCUGGUAUCAGGCACAAUCUCCCCCAUAAGCCCAUGACACCUUGCUUAGCCACACCCUCAAGGGAACUCAGCAGUGAUAGACAUUAAGCCAUAAGUGAAAACUUGACUUAGUUAAAGCUAAGAGGGUCGGUAAAACUCGUGCCAGCCACCGCGGUUAUACGAGAGACCCAAGUUGUUAGACAUCGGCGUAAAGAGUGGUUAAGAUUUAUAUAGGACUAAAGCCGAACGCCCUCAAAGCCGUUAUACGCAUCCGAAGGUAAGAAGCCCAACAACGAAAGUGGCUUUAUGUUAUCCGAAUCCACGAAAGCUAUGACACAAACUGGGAUUAGAUACCCCACUAUGCCUAGCCGUAAACAUUGAUAGUAAACUACGCCCACUAUCCGCCCGGGAACUACGAGCACCAGCUUGAAACCCAAAGGACUUGGCGGUGCUUUAGAUCCACCUAGAGGAGCCUGUUCUAGAACCGAUUACCCCCGUUCAACCUCACCUUUCCUUGUUUUCCCCGCCUAUAUACCACCGUCGUCAGCUUACCCUGUGAAGGACUCAUAGUAAGCAAGAUUGGCAUAGCCCAAAACGUCAGGUCGAGGUGUAGCGUAUGGAAAGGGAAGAAAUGGGCUACAUUCACUAACAUAGUGAAACACGAACGAUACACUGAAAUACGUAUCUGAAGGAGGAUUUAGCAGUAAGCAGAAAAUAGAGCGUUCCGCUGAAACUGGCCCUGAAGCGCGCACACACCGCCCGUCACUCUCCCCAAGCUUACUAACCUUAAGUACCUAAGACCCUAAAACUGCAAAGGGGAG
rnacentral:ncRNA from 1 species